AAAGCGAACAGCGAGAGAAAAGGGGAAGCGAGCGGCCAGCACGAGAAAAAAGACCUAGCCCGCGCCCCCGCAGCCGCCUCCUCUCCUGCCGCCGCCGCCUCGUCCUCGUCUCGUUUCUUGCCCUCAGCGCCGCCUCCUCUCCUUCCUCUCUCUCCCUCUGCGCCACCUCCUCUUCUCUUCAUGCGUGGUGGCGUCUCGUCAUCCCCAGCCUCCUCAAUCCCCUCCUCCCGCACGAACCCUAGCAGAGAGAGAAGAUGAGAGGGAGAGAGAAGGAAGGAGAGGAGAGGAGGGAGAAAGAGAGAUGAAAGAGGAGAGGGAGGUGUGGCGGCUGACGGGAGAGGGUCAUCGGCCGGCGUCGGCCUGCGCCGGCGAGGUCGGGCGCGACCUGGCGGUUGGCGACGACUCGAUCCGUUCCUGGAUUGGGAGCUGCGAGGAGGCUGGGGCUCGGGCGCGAUGCACGGGAGGCUGCACCCCGCCUCCAUCUCCACGCGUGCGGCGGCGACCUCGGGAGGAGCUCGAGCCACAACGGUGGUCCACGGCGCCGGCGUCAGCAGGAGGAGCGUCGGCCGCAGAAACGGCCGGCUCCGUUCGGUUUUCGCGCAGGAGAGUAUUGCAGGGUGGUGUUGCUUAGCAAGCUUGCCUGCAGUAUGCAGUUUUAUACCAAUUUUUGUGUUCGCUAAUAGUUUUGGUUUGAUUGAUUCAAGUUUUUGAUUUAUGCACAUACAUAUUGUAGAGUGUAUUGUCCCCUAGCAGACUUGAUUUUAAUAUUCUAUAUGCAGCUUUGAGACAAGUGACUAUUCUCUGGUAGUCAACUAACUCAUGGGUAAAUUAGAUGUCACAGCCAAAAACAUUUAUAUAGAUAAAUCAUUGUGCAUUUUACAGGGCAAUGCUUAGAUGUUAUGAUGUUUUGUAGGAACAAGCAUGUGAUUCCCCUUGAGUGCCAGGCAGCAGCAAGGCAGAGCAGAUCGAGUGGUAAAAGCGGUGGUGCUGUGUGACAUCCUUGCGCUGGCUCCCGUCGAUCUUAAUGAAGGUCCUGCCUGACUCAUGGUUGUCAAGCCAAACAAGUCAGUAUUGCAUCUAAGUAAUGCUAUGUAUUCUAUCAGCGCCUACUCCUAAACUACCAGAUCAUGCCUGCUGUUUACAAGAUCAUGCCUGCUGUUUAUAAGUGGAUUAUUAGGCCUUUCGUUGGUCGUAUGAACUUUGGGACUUUCGGGUCUUCUGUUAAAGAUGAUGUAGAAUGCAGUGAAAUUGUUCAUGCCCUCGAUGAAGAGCAUUUAUAUAUCUCAGUUUUUUAUGGUUAAUUAACUAGAGAACUCAUCCAAGAGCAUUUAGAUAUCUCAGCUUUUUUCCCUCACAUGGAUUACUCAUAUUCCUGCCUAAAAAUGACCGCUUCCUUUUGUUAUUUGGAUCAGCUGAAGGCAUGCUCAGAUCAUCAAAUUAAGGUACAUUCAAGCUACAACUGACUUCGCGUCAAAGCAUUUACGUAUCAUUAUUAGAUUUAUGUGAUGUUCUUCAAGUGUGAUUGUGUGUUGAAUUUUUCAUAUUUGAUUGGAAUCACCAUCUGUUUGUGGCCACGGGUGAGUUUGCAUUGGCUUAGAAAAAUUGCCGCUCAUUUUUUUUACUUACGAGUAUCCUGAUCUCCAGACUAUUGCUACUUUCCUUUUUCCUUUUGUUGCUCCUCAAUUUAUUAUGACUCUUGAUUUCUAUGCAUGUGUGCAGGUGGCUUCUCUAUUGGCACAGCAUGUCCCAUCUGGUUUUAGGAAUUGGCUGGACUUCUUCCUUGUUCUGAGUGUUUGAUGCUGUAAUUUUUUCUUGGGUUUUCUCUCUUCUCCUUGUUGCUACCUUAGUUCAGUCUUUUGUUCGUGCUCUUUCUCUAGAGAUUUCCUUUUAGUUCUAAUGGUUUGAGCCGUAGAAGUUAGUGUACAGUCCUAUAUUUGGCUUCCAUGGCUCCUAAAUGGAGAGCUGGACAUGCUUGGUUGGAGUCGCUGAGCUUACUGUCCCAUGUCUCCUGGUUGUGAGAGUUGAAUCUGGUUAGUUGGAAUUAUAAAGAUCAGCAUGCAGUCCGUCCACGCCUCCUAAUUAGAUAGUUGUGCUUGGUUAGGGAGAUGCUUUUGGCUAAUUACAAUAUCUUGUCAUAGAAUUUUAUAAUUGUUUUGUACUUUUGUCAUAGAACUGGUUUUGCCAUAUCAUCUAUGAAUCCUUUUUGUUAAUUACAAUAUCCUGUGAUAGAAUUUUAUAAUGGUUUGUUCAAAUGCCUAGGAUGGGAUGCCAGAUCAUGUUAACUAUAAAAGUUUUUCUCUCCAAUCAGUUUCUGUAAGAUGAUGUGGAGAUAUUCAUAUGUGGAGCUCCUAAUCUAGCUAAUUUAACUAUGGAAAAUAUAUUGUUUACUCUACCUUAUGGGCCUAAUUUCCUAAAAAUAGGGGACAUUGUGAUAUAUACCAAUGACUGUUCAAAAUAUCAUCCAAGAGAGGCAGUAGCAGGAGAGAGGCGGUAGCAGCAAACCAAAGCAAAGGAAGAUUAACUCCUUUUUACUAUUGGCUUAUAACCUUUUGUUUUGUGUGAUUGUGCUCAGGUAUGUGAAGGAUUAGGGCUUAGGGCACUUGAUGCCAGCGAGUUGGAGUUUGCUUGGUUACAUAUGCAGGUCUUUGGAAUCUGAAACUUCUAUGUGGUGAUGAGCUUCUGCUCAUCUUGAUUGAUUCAUCUCCAGUGAAGGAACACAGAGUUGUGCAGCCGGUGGUGUCUUGACCAAGGGUUGUUGUGAUGAACAUCCAUCGAUGGUACUGCCUCCUCCUCCGUAUCAUGCCCAGGUUCUCUGCUCGUCGAACAUAUAAAGGCGCAACCAUUGUGAUGUUUGCUUCCUGCCAUUAGAGCAAAGUUGCCUGAAUAAAAACAUCAGUAGUUUCCCCCUUUUAGCUUUGACGCGGUGUUAUGGUUGUACAAGUGUAUAGCAAUAGUAAGAUGUAGAUUUUUUGGGAAACGUGAGUGUGCGAUUAAUCCGAGCAGAGCCUUGCGCCACUACAAAAUGGUGAGGUAUUUCCAUGCCCACUGAAAUAGCAAACUUUAGGAUCGACCGGGCGCAUCAGUGACUUGAAGGGGAUAGCGCCAAGAGAAGAAAACAAUGGGGCGUGGUCUUCUGGAGGUGCAUCUGGUCCACGCCAAGGGCCUCUCUGGCAGCGAUUUCCUUGAUAGACCUGUGUGGUCGUUAGGUGCCGGAGCCAGGAGCACAAGGGCAACACCGCACUGAGGUCAGUGCCUCCAUAGCUCUCUGGUUUUUAGUUUCGUUACUCAUCUAUGUUCAAAGUGAUUGUAAUGUAUGCCUUGGUCUGCUCUGUUCAGUUCCAUAGGGAAUUUCUUGCCAUUGGCACGACCAGUAUUUACUAUGCAAGCAGACAAUAGUUGUUACAUUCCUGCCAACUAUAUGAAUCUCACAGCUUCUCACAUGUACCAUCCUCUUAGACUUUUAGAUUUCCAAAGAAACUAAAUGAAGAUAUGGUGGCCUGGUCUCAAUAGUACAACUUAAAGCAUUCCAUGCUUUAUAUUUUUUUCUGAAAUUUGCUUUUGAAGAAUCAUGUAUCUAUGUUAGAUCCGGUGAGAAAAGGCGGCUUCCCAGCAGAGGAUGCGACAGUGUUGGCCA